rnacentral:rRNA from 1 species
CCUACGGGGGGCAGCAGUGGGGGAUAUUGCACAAUGGGGGAAACCCUGAUGCAGCGACGCCGCGUGGGUGAAGAAGGGCCUCGGGGCGGAAAGCCCUGUCAGCAGGGAAGAAAAUGACGGUACCUGAAGAAGAAGCCACGGCUAACUACGUGCCAGCAGCCGCGGGAAGACGUAGGGGGCAAGCGUUAUCCGGAUUUACUGGGCGUAAAGGGGGCGUAGGCGGGGAUGCAAGCCAGGAGUGAAAGCCCGGGGCCCAACCCCGGGACUGCACUUGAAACUGCGUGGCUAGAGUGCAGGAGGGGCAGGCGGAAUGCCUGGUGUAGCGGUGAAAUGCGUAGAUAUCAGGAGGAACACCGGUGGCGAAGGCGGCCUUCUGGACUGCAACUGACGUUGAGGCCCGAAAGCGUGGGGAGCAAACAGGAUUAGAUACCCCAGUAGUC